rnacentral:rRNA from 1 species
UGGGGAAUAUUGGACAAUGGGCGCAAGCCUGAUCCAGCCAUGCCGCGUGAGUGAAGAAGGCCUUCGGGUUGUAAAGCUCUUUAAGCGGGGAGGAAGGUCAGCUACUUAAUACGUAGUUGAAUUGACGUUACCUGCAGAAUAAGCACCGGCUAACUCUGUGCCAGCAGCCGCGGUAAUACAGAGGGUGCGAGCGUUAAUCGGAAUUACUGGGCGUAAAGCGUGCGUAGGUGGUUUCUUAAGCUGGAUGUGAAAGCCCGGCUGA